rnacentral:rRNA from 1 species
UUAACACAUGCAAGUCGAGCGGAAAGGCCCCUUCGGGGGGUACUCGAGCGGCGAACGGGUGAGUAACACGUGGGUAAUCAACCCUUGACAUCGGGAUACCCCGGGGAAACCCGGAUCAAUACCGGAUAAGGGUGCCGGAGGCGCAGGCCGCCGUACCAAAGAUAGCUUACGGGCUUUCGGUCAAAGGGGCGAGCCCGCGGCCCAUUAGCUUGUUGGUGGGGUAAUGGCUACCAAGGCGACGAUGGGUAGCUGGUCUGAGAGGACGAUCAGCCACACUGGGACUGAGACACGGCCCAGACUCC